rnacentral:rRNA from 1 species
GAUGAACGCUGGCGGCGUGCCUAAUACAUGCAAGUCGAGCGAACGGACGAGAAGCUUGCUUCUCUGAUGUUAGCGGCGGACGGGUGAGUAACACGUGGAUAACCUACCUAUAAGACUGGGAUAACUUCGGGAAACCGGAGCUAAUACCGGAUGAUAUUUUGAACCGCAUGGUUCAAAAGUGAAAGACGGUCUUUCUGUCACUUAUAGAUGGAUCCGCGCUGCAUUAGCUAGUUGGUAAGGUAACGGCUUACCAAGGCAACGAUGCAUAGCCGACCUGAGAGGGUGAUCGGCCACACUGGAACUGAGACACGGUCCAGACUCCUACGGGAGGCAGCAGUAGGGAAUCUUCCGCAAUGGGCGAAAGCCUGACGGAGCAACGCCGCGUGAGUGAUGAAGGUCUUCGGAUCGUAAAACUCUGUUAUUAGGGAAGAACAUAUGUGUAAGUAACUGUGCACAUCUUGACGGUACCUAAUCAGAAAGCCACGGCUAACUACGUG